ACUCCUUCAUUCGAAUUUCCUCCACCUUCAUCUGCCCCCUCCGCCUCUUCCUCUUCGCCUUCGGUCAUCCAAUCGGGGCCUUAAUGGCGGUGGCGAUUCGGAAGGUCUCUGGAUCCGUGCUUCAUCGCUCCGGAGGAUCCUGCUCCAGCUGCCGCAGCCCGGACCUCCAGGAAGAUCGCCCGCUCUCAGCCAUCUCAACCUCAUUCUCAUCUACGUCUUCGUGCAGAUCCAAUCGCGGCCUUAAUGGCGGCGAUUCUGCAGAAGGUCUUCGGAUCGGUGCUCCAUCGCUCCGGAUCCUGCUCCAAUCUAAUCAGGGUCCGUCCUAAUGGCGGUUGUCCUGCGGAAGGUCUUCGGAUCGAUGCUCCAUCUCUCCGGAUCCAACUCCGGCGGCCUGUACCUGGACCACAUGAAUGACCACCCGCCCCUAGGCGAUCUCAACCUCAUUCCCACCGACUUCUUUGCGCAGAUCCAUUCACAGCCUUAAUGGCGGUGGUGCUGCGGAAGGUCUUCGGAUCUGUGCUCCAUCUAGAGCUGCGGAAGACACUCUGCUAUGUGGCUGCUGACUGAGGCAGAGCUACAGCCUACAGAAGGUUACUGAAGCUUCAUGUUAAAAUAGGGAUCACUUUUUCGAAAGAGCAGUUUAAAAAUAGGGAAAUCGUUUUCCAAACAUUACAGGCGCGCUACGCACGCUCGGUUUUACAUCGUGCUGUGGCUCUCUGCAUGGAUCAUUGCUUGGCUGGUGUAGUCCCAAGCGACCACAAAUGGUUUCAAACUGGGGUUUUGGCUGAUGGAAGUGGUUGUUUACACGGACUGCCAGGUAUGCUAACUAUUUCAGUUCCUGUCUUUUAUUAAUUCUAAUAUCUCAGCGCAUGUAGGUGUCAAGUUCACUUCUGACAAAUAAAAGGAAAGAAAUGAACAAUAGUUUUCGAUUAGCAUAGAUGCAAGCGACAGAGGGAGUCAAUUAAAAAGAACAAUCUUUAGGCUCAGUCUAACCAUAGUGAGCAAAUAAUGGGGAAGGAGAGAGUACCAAUUAAAUUAGGAAGCGUGAUGACUCUUGAUGUGACCCUAAAAUUUCACCAAUAGUUCAAUAGGUAAGUGUAUCUUGCGUGGGAAUUAAAUCCUCAUUGCUUAGGAAAUGCACCACCGCACUAAGCCCUGGGGUUAGGAGUAUUAUUAGGUAAAAUUGAUAAAGGGAAUAAAUUUUACAACCAUUUUACCUUUUCCCCUCUUCCUCUCCUGUGUGUCCAGUCCACCUAGCUUUUGGCUGGACGAGUUUCACGCAGCAGGAGGGCACUAUGGACUAUUCCCUCUCCUCUCCCUAUGUGGAGCAAACAGGCCCUUAGUUAAGUUAAUGAGAAAUGAUUUAUUUGAUUAAGUAUAUUACUAAUGAUUCAUCUUUAAUAGUACUCAAUGCAAAGAUAAUAACUAAUCUUAAUUAGUUACGGCAAAUCCUAGUGACGAUUAUGAUGAUGACUAUGACUUAUCUUCUAAAUUGCUCUGGAUGAACUGUUAUUAUCUAUUUAUGCAUCUAAUAACAUAAAAUUCUUGUCUCAUCAAUUGAAAAUUUUCAUAGAUUCACCUUUCCUCCGUGUCAUUCUAGGUCCAUGUGUUUAUGAUUCUACUUCAAAAAUUGUGAAUUGUGCACAAUCCAUGUGAGUUGCUACUACCUGUUCGAUCGACGACUCAUAGGGAGAGAACUAGCGAGUCACAUCUCAGAGCUACACAUUAUAACUUGAUCAUGUCAUUAUCCGAUUGAUCCCUUAUUUUGCGGAAAAGUGCGCCUAGUAGUGAGAGCUUGAGAGUGAGAUCACUGCGAUCCCAAGCGAGAGAAUUUAAGGCUGUUUGCUUAUUAUAUUGAUAGGAAUGCAAACAUGUAAACAAUGUUAGCACUAAUACUACGCCUCAAGUACGAUAGGUAUUCCAUAAGAGAGGCAGGGAUCUUACAGCAAUUGUCUUAUGAAAGCCUUUCUACAUGACAAAUAUGGUGUCAAUGCUUGCCGGUGUUAAGUAUCUGUUAUAUGACUAUGCAGUGACAUAGAUUAGGUUUCACACAAUCACAUAAUGCCAAAGUAUUAUAUAUGGCUUCGGUGAUGCAUGGCGUGUUGUUAUGAAGAAACGAUUCCACCGGAUGCAACAUAGCAACGCCUAUCUGGUAAUAUUGCUUUGUAAUUAAUCCUGAUUUUGAUCAUUUACUGGAGUGGAUUUUAGAUGCCACCUCGUUCAUGCAGCACGGUUGCAUCAAAUCAAGAAAUAUUUUUUAAAAAACAAAUAAAUAAUUUAUGUGGGCCUUGACUUUAAAUUUAGAUAUUUGUAAAUAAAAAAAACUCAUGAUUAGCUUUUGAUCAUUUGUUACUUGAAACUAUUCUUACUUUUCAUUUGCUUUUCUUUCGUUUUUUUUUUUUUUUUUUUUGCAAAGUAUAUUGAGAGAA